AGGACGAACGCUGGCGGCGUGCUUAACACAUGCAAGUCGAGCGGAAAGGCCCUUCGGGGUACUCGAGCGGCGAACGGGUGAGUAACACGUGAGCAACCUGCCCCUAGCUCUGGGAUAGCUCCGGGAAACCGGGAUUAAUACCAGAUACGACCACUUUAGACAUCUGCUGUGGUGGAAAGGAUUCCGGCUAGGGAUGGGCUCGCGGCCUAUCAGCUUGUUGGUGGAGUAACGGCCCACCAAGGCGACGACGGGUAGCCGGCCUGAGAGGGCGACCGGCCACACUGGGACUGAGACACGGCCCAGACUCCUACGGGAGGCAGCAGUGGGGAAUAUUGCGCAAUGGGCGAAAGCCUGACGCAGCGACGCCGCGUGGGGGAUGAAGGCCUUCGGGUUGUAAACCCCUUUCAGCAGGGACGAAGCGAAAGUGACGGUACCUGCAGAAGAAGCGCCGGCUAACUACGUGCCAGCAGCCGC
rnacentral:rRNA from 1 species